rnacentral:rRNA from 1 species
CCUACGGGAGGCAGCAGUGAGGAAUAUUGGUCAAUGGACGAGAGUCUGAACCAGCCAAGUAGCGUGAAGGAUGACUGUCCUAUGGGUUGUAAACUUCUUUUAUAUGGGAAUAAAAUGUUCCACGUGUGGGAUUUUGUAUGUACCAUAUGAAUAAGGAUCGGCUAACUCCGUGCCAGCAGCCGCGGUAAUACGGAGGAUCCGAGCGUUAUCCGGAUUUAUUGGGUUUAAAGGGAGCGUAGGUGGAUUGUUAAGUCAGUUGUGAAAGUUUGCGUCUCAACCGUAAAAUUGCAGUUGAAACUGGCAGUCUUGAGUACAGUAGAGGUGGGCGGAAUUCGUGGUGUAGCGGUGAAAUGCUUAGAUAUCACGAAGAACUCCGAUUGCGAAGGCAGUUCACUGGACUGCAACUGACACUGAGGCUCGAAAGUGUGGGUAUCAAACAGGAUUAGAUACCCCUGUAGUC